rnacentral:rRNA from 1 species
UACGGAGGGUGCAAGCGUUAUCCGGAUUCACUGGGUUUAAAGGGUGCGUAGGCGGGUAGGUAAGUCAGUGGUGAAAUCUUCGAGCUUAACUCGGAAACUGCCUUUGAUACUAUCUAUCUUGAAUAUUGUGGAGGUAAGCGGAAUAUGUCAUGUAGCGGUGAAAUGCUUAGAUAUGACAUAGAACACCUAUUGCGAAGGCAGCUUACUACGCAUAUAUUGACGCUGAGGCACGAAAGCGUGGGGGAUCAAAACAGG